rnacentral:rRNA from 1 species
GCUCCUGGCUCAGGAUGAACGCUGGCGGCGUGCUUAACACAUGCAAGUCGAACGAAGCACUUUAUUUGAUUUCCUUCGGGACUGAUUAUUUUGUGACUGAGUGGCGGACGGGUGAGUAACGCGUGGGUAACCUGCCUUGUACAGGGGGAUAACAGUUGGAAACGGCUGCUAAUACUGCAUAAGCGCACGGCAUCGCAUGAUGCAGUGUGAAAAACUCCGGUGGUAUAAGAUGGACCCGCG